rnacentral:rRNA from 1 species
GCGAGUGGCGAACGGGUGAGUAAUACAUCGGAACGUGCCCUGUAGUGGGGGAUAACUAGUCGAAAGAUUAGCUAAUACCGCAUACGACCUGAGGGUGAAAGUGGGGGACCGCAAGGCCUCAUGCUAUAGGAGCGGCCGAUGUCUGAUUAGCUAGUUGGUGAGGUAAAGGCUCACCAAGGCGACGAUCAGUAGCUGGUCUGAGAGGACGAUCAGCCACACUGGGACUGAGACACGGCCCAGACUCCUACGGGAGGCAGCAGUGGGGAAUUUUGGACAAUGGGCGAAAGCCUGAUCCAGCAAUGCCGCGUGUGUGAAGAAGGCCUUCGGGUUGUAAAGCACUUUUGUCCGGAAAGAAAUGGCUCUGGUUAAUACCUGGGGUCGAUGACGGUACCGGAAGAAUAAGGACCGGCUAACUACGCGCCAGCAGCCGCGGUAAUACGUAGGGUCCAAGCGUUAAUCGGAAUUACUGGGCGUAAAGCGUGCGCAGGCGGUUGUGCAAGACCGAUGUGAAAUCCCCGAGCUUAACUUGGGAAUUGCAUUGGUGACUGCACGGCUAGAGUGUGUCAGAGGGGGGUAGAAUUCCACGUGUAGCAGUGAAAUGCGUAGAGAUGUGGAGGAAUACCGAUGGCGAAGGCAGCCCCCUGGGAUAACACUGACGCUCAUGCACGAAAGCGUG